rnacentral:lncRNA from 1 species
AGACCUGUUAUUCCCAUUGCCAUAGCUUUGCCUGAGAGCCUUUUAAUUUGGAAAUGGUGGUAAUUGGGAGGGAGGGGGUUUACCUUUCCCAUUUCACAGGAGGCUUUUGCCCUCCUUCACAGCCUCUUUUCAAACCAAGUCACCAGUCCAGCAAACACUGCCCGUUCCCAGCUCCGUGUGGGUGCCAGGCUGGAAGCAGGGCAGCAAUCCUGAUGGAUGCAGGGAACUGGAGCUGCCAAAGUGGGAACUGGCAGUGACUGAAGCAAGUUCUGCCAUCGAGAAGCGACUUGUGAAAAAAAUACACAUUUGCUGUCUUAUUUUGCUGCUGAUGAUCUUAAUUUCGCCGAAUGUGUAAGAUUUGCUUUAGCAAAACAAAUAGCGCUCUUGGGUUUUUGCCAUGCCAUGAAUUUUUAAUGUUUUAUUAGAGUGCUGCAGGGUUCCAGCCCAGUCUGUGGCUGCUUAAUUGAGUGAAAUCCCGCUCCAUUACCUGCCUGGAACCAUCUGGCCUGGCAUGGAACAGCUGGGAAUCCCAGCCCUGCUGCCAGCUCGCUCCAUGCAAACCAGGUAUUCCUUGGAAAAACCCUCCCGGAGAGUUUUCUGCACCUUCACGCACAGAGGUUUUAUUUUUUAAAAUGAUUUUAGGGCUUUUUGUGACCAGAGAGGGUUUUUACUCCCUGGUGUGAAAAACACCAAUCACUUGGUAUUUCAAAUUUUUAAAAGUUUAAUAAUAAUAAAAUGAUUAUCAAAAUAGUAAUGCAAUUAGAGUAGUAAAAUUUAGAGUUAGGAGAACUACAAGACAAUAAAAAGCAAAGAAUUACGGACAUCCGGCUGUUUUUGGACACUAAGUCAUGAAAAGCAUCUUUUGUGAACAAAGAAUAACCUUAAAAGCAACAGCCUGUUGCAUAUUCAUAUAUCUCAUAUACAUGAGGCAUAAAUUCAUUGCAAAUUAAGAAAUUUUCUGGUUUUUGUCAACUUCUCCUUAAUCUUGGUGGUUCCAAAAAGAUGGAGAGGUGGAAGAAUGUUUGUUUUUUCUUAUAAGGAGACAGUAAUUUUUUUCAGGUGCACACUGACAUCUCUGUGUGAAGAGUUUCUUGAUUAUCUCAUCUUCCUGCUCAAGCUUGUAACAAAUUCUGUAUCACAGACUUUCUAUUUUAAUGUUAUGUUGUAGCCUAAAACUACAUUUAUCACACUGGUAGUAAAAGGGUUUUAAAAUCAUGGGGAUUUAGGGUUAAAAGGAAAAUUAAGCUUAGUAGGCCCUGAAAAAAAUACCCUGGGAACAUGUAGGCCUUGUACCUUGCUAGAACUGCACCUGUGUGGCUAGUACAUGAUAAAUGAUAUAAUUGUUAGAUGUGAUGAUUGUUUAGUAAUUAAAUAUAAUUACUGUUUAAUCAUAAGAAUAAUGAUGAGAAACUGUGGUCAGGGGCCUGAGAAAGAUGACGAGAAACUCAUGCUUGGAUAAAGUCAAUGUAUACAAUAGAACAAUAUAAGUUUAAUAAUUAAUAUGUAAGUUAUAUAAGGAUAGAAUAUAAAAUACAUUCAGCUCAAGAGCCAUGUCAGAGUCAGGUUUGGGUCUGUACCUGAUUCCCAAAGCUCUCAAUAAAAGCACAUAAUCUGCAUAUAAUCAUAUCCUGUGAUGAUGUGUGCUCCUGAACGCUAAAAAAAACUACUUAAGAGAAUUAAUACAGAAUCACUUUCUAACAUGACACACACAAUAUUCAUUGUACCAUCAGCGAAAAGCCAAUAAUGAAAUAUUUUCACAGAGGUGCAGCGGCAGGGCUGGGAGCCAAAACCGGGGUCGCAGAGGGAAAAGGGAAUUCUGCCCUGAGGGAGAGGCAGGCGGGGACAACAACAGGGAACUUACACCCGCGGGGGGAAAAAAUAUAAAUAUAUAUAUUUUUUAAAGCAUUAAAAUUUUGAUUUAAAAAUAUUUGGGAAAUAUGUUGGAAAGUACAUGGAAAAAUCGUAACGGGGAAAAGGCCAAGGGCGGCCGCGCUGGGGGCAGGGCCGCAGCCGCAUUACCAGACCUGGUCCUGUUGGCGCUCGUUGGCGGUUCGGAUCCCGGUCCCGUCGCUGCUCCUGGUGCUGUUCCCGGUCCCGUUCCCGUUCCUUUUCCCGUUCCCGUUCCUUUUCCCGUUCCCAUUGCCGGUCCCGCUCCCAUUGCCGGUCCCGUUCCCGCCGCUCCCUCACGG